rnacentral:rRNA from 1 species
AUUACGACUGCUAAGACUGGAUAGGAGACAAGAAGGCAUCUUCUUGUUUUUAAAAGACCUAGCAAUAGGUAUGCUUAGGUAGGAGCUUGCGUCACAUUAGUUAGUUGGUGGGGUAAAGGCCUACCAAGAUUAUGAUGUGUAGCCGGGCUGAGAGGUUGAACGGCCACAUUGGGACUGAGACACGGCCCAAACUCCUGCGGGAGGCAGCAGUAGGGAAUUUUCGGCAAUGGAGGAAACUCUGACCGAGCAACGCCGCGUGAACGAUGAAGUACUUCGGUACGUAGAGUUCUUUUAUUAGGGAAGAAUAAAUGAUGGAAAAAUCAUUCUGACGGUACCUAAUGAAUAAGCCCCGGCUAACUAUGUGCAGCAGCCGCGGUAAUACAUAGGGGGCAAGCGUUAUCCGGAAUUAUUGGGCGUAAAGGGUGCGUAGGCGGUUAAAUAAGUUUGUGGUCUAAGUGCAAUGCUCAACAUUGUGAUGCUAUAAAAACUGUUUAGCUAGAGUAAGAUAGAGGCAAGUGGAAUUCCAUGUGUAGUGGUAAAAUGCGUAAAUAUAUGGAGGAACACCAGUAGCGAANNCGGCUUGCUGGGUCUUUACUGACGCUGAGGCACGAAGGCGAGGGGAGCAGACAGGAUUAGAUACCCUGGUAGUCCACGCCGUAAACGAUGAGUACUAAACGUUGGGUAAAACCAGUGUUGAAGUUAACACAUUAAGUACUCCGCCUGAGUAGUACGUACGCAAGUAUGAAACUUAAAGGAAUUGACGGGACUCCGCACAAGCGGUGGAUCAUGUUGUUUAAUUCGAAGGUACCCGAAAAACCUCACCAGGUCUUGACAUGCUUCUGCAAAGCUGUGGAAACACAGUGGAGGUUAUCAGUUGCACAAGUGGUGCAUGGUUGUCGUCAGCUCGUGUCGUGAGAUGUUGGGUUAAGUCCCGCAACGAGCGCAACCCUUAUUGUUAGUUACCAGCACGUAAUGGUGGGGACUUUAGCAAGACUGCCAGUGAUAAAUUGGAGGAAGGUGGGGACGACGUCAAAUCAUCAUGCCCCUUAUGACCUGGGCUACAAACGUGAUACAAUGGCUGUUACAAAGGAUAGCUGAAGCGCAAGUUUUUGGCGAAUCUCAAAAAAACAGUCUCAGUUCGGAUUGAAGUCUGCAACUCGACUUCAUGAAGUUGGAAUCGCUAGUAAUCGCGAAUCAGCAUGUCGCGGUGAAUACGUUCGCGGGGUUUGUACACACCGCAAUCUC